AAUGGCGGUGCGGUGAUUGUGGAGUUGUCAGGGGCGGGAGAGGGUUUUGAGGUCAUCGAGUCCAACCGUCAGCGCGGCAUUGCCGCUGUGACUCUAACCUCGACACCUCUAAACUCCUAAAACACUAAGCUACAUCACCCAGCGCCAAAUCCAGGCGCCUCUUAAACACCUCUGGGGUUGGUGAUUCCACCAUCUCCUUCGGCAAUUCAUUCCAAUGUUUGACCAGCAGACCAGUGAAAAAGACUUUUUUGUCUACUAUCUAACCUCGAUCUGCCCUGUCUCAGCUUGAGGCCGUGUUUGAGGUUCUCUCACUGCAGUGUAGAAGAGGCUGGACUCCAGUUAGCUGGGGAGAGCCGUGAAGUUCCCCUGAGCCUCGUCCGGGCUAAACUACCCCGGGUCCCUCAGCCGCUCCUCAUAAACGUGUGGGAAAAAGGAAAGUCCCUUUUAUUAGGCCUUAUGUAUUGAAUCUUAACUACAAAACACAACUGCAUUUUUUUCCUUUUUGCUACUAAACCACGACUGAUUCAGGGUGAUGACGUACAGGUUUUUUCCCCCCCUUUCAUAAUUAGAUGAGUGUGUGAUCAUUUUCAGUGCUGAGCCUGGCUAAAUGUGUACUGUGGGGCUGCAGUGAGUGGCUUGAAAAGUCUUGAAAAGGUCUCCAAGAAUGCGGACUUCCUGACCUGUGCAGUAGGUGCCUCUGCCCAGGGAAAGGCUCCCUCAGGAAAACUGCCAGAGCUGCUGGUUGUCCUUGAGCUCCCAAACACCCUCUACUUAGGUUGGUCUUCCUCAGCUAUAACCUGUAUAUAUAUUAUUAUAUACACAGUUAUUUUAUCUAUAUAUAUAUAUGCACACAUAUAUAUUAUUAUAUACAUAGUUAUUUUAUAUAUAUAUAUAUAUAUAUAAAUAUGUCUAUGUGUAUGUAUGUAUUUUUAUAAGCUGUACUGCUAUAGCCCUUGCUGCUUUUGCUUCCUCUUGUGACUUCUGCAUUCUGCAAAAGUGGGGAAAAAAAAAAAAAUCCAUGCAGGGAGAAAGCUCUAUGCAAGGAUGUAUUUGGAAGCGUGCCUUUGAAAGGUGGCUGCUCUCCCUAUGUUCUGGCUGUUAUUUUCCUCAGGUUUUUAAUAUUGUAUUGCAAGAGGCUAUCUAGGCUUGAAGCUGCUUAGUAAAGAAUCACAGAUUAUGUAGUGUUGGAAGGGACCUCUGGAGUUCAUCUAGUCUAACCCCCAUGUUUAACAGAUUUUUAGAGUAUGGUGUUUCAGUACUGUUAGUAGUUAAUUAUACAAAACUAAAGGAAUUGUGCAGUGAUGAGAUAAUCCUUAAAAGUGUACUCCUGUAUCUUUGUUGUUUCAUGCCAGCCUUUUACCCUGCAUAGUCUACAAAAUAAAAUUACUGAGCUGAAUGCA
rnacentral:lncRNA from 1 species